GAUGAACGCUGGCGGCGUGCUUAACACAUGCAAGUCGAACGGAAAGGCCCAAUCUUGCUUGGGUCCUCGAUUGGCGAACGGGUGAGUAACACGUGGGUGAUCUGCCCUUCACUUCGGGAUAAGCCUGGGAAACUGGGUCUAAUACCGGAUAGGACCACCUUUUGGAUGGUUUGGUGUAAAGUUUUUCGGUUUGAGAUUAGCUCGCGGCCUAUCAUCUUGUUUGUGGUGUAAUGGCCUACCAAGGCGUCGACGGGUAGCCGGCCUGAGAGGGUGUAAGGCCACAAUGGGACUGAGAUAAGGCCCAGACUGCUACGGGAGGCAGCAGUGGGGAAUAUUGCACAAUGGGAGCAAGCGUGAUGAAGAGACGCCGCGUGGGGGAUGACGGCCUUCGGGUUGUAAAAAAAAUUCGCUAGGGACGAAGAGUGAUGGGAGGGUACCUGGAGAAGAAGCACCGGCUAACUACGU
rnacentral:rRNA from 1 species